GUCCAGCUAAGGCAUGUUGUUCACUGUAACUCCGACACAUCUCCUCGUCCUCGUCAGCUGCAAGCGAUACGUACAGAAAACAGGAAUUUUUUGUCGGCCAUCCCCAGCCGUGGGCCCCUGAAUGAUCAACACCUUUCACCUCACCACUAAAGAUGCAGCAGAGCCUCACAUUUAUUUUAUGGCCACAGAAGCAAACAGCACAGAAUGUGGUCGACAUGUCUAGACUGACAGAUAGAUCUACAGUUUCAGAAGCUGAGGCCCUCAUGCUGUGGGACACAUUUUCAUGCUCUGGAUCUGGAUCGUCACCGCACCGGGGCUAAGACAA